AGAGUUUGAUCAUGGCUCAGAACGAACGCUGGCGGCGUGCUUAACACAUGCAAGUCGAACGGGAUCCAGAGCUUGCUCUGGUGAGAGUGGCGCACGGGUGAGUAACGCGUGGAUAACCUGCCCUGGUAUCUGGAAUAACAUCUCGAAAGGGGUGCUAAUACCGGAUAAGCCCACGGGGUCUUCGGACUCUGCGGGAAAAGGUGGCCUCUGAAUAUGCUACCGUAUCAGGAUGGGUCCGCGUACCAUUAGCUAGUUGGUAGGGUAAUGGCCUACCAAGGCUACGAUGGUUAGCUGGUCUGAGAGGAUGAUCAGCCACACUGGAACUGAGACACGGUCCAGACUCCUACGGGAGGCAGCAGUGGGGAAUUUUGCGCAAUGGGGGAAACCCUGACGCAGCAACGCCGCGUGAGUGAUGAAGGCUUUCGGGUCGUAAAGCUCUGUCAGUAGGGAAGAAGUGUAAGGGUGCUAAUACCAUCUUUACUUGACGGUACCUACAAAGGAAGCACCGGCUAACUCCGUGCCAGCAGCCGCGGUAAUACGGAGGGUGCAAGCGUUGUUCGGAUUUAUUGGGCGUAAAGCGCGUGUAGGCGGUUUCUUAAGUCUGAUGUGAAAGCCCUGGGCUCAACCCAGGAAGUGCAUUGGAUACUGGGAGACUUGAAUACGGGAGAGGGUAGUGGAAUUCCUAGUGUAGGAGUGAAAUCCGUAGAUAUUAGGAGGAACACCGGUGGCGAAGGCGGCUACCUGGACCGAUAUUGACGCUGAGACGCGAAAGCGUGGGGAGCAAACAGGAUUAGAUACCCUGGUAGUCCACGCCGUAAACGAUGAGAACUAGGUGUUGCGGGUAUUGACCCCUGCAGUGCCGCAGCUAACGCAUUAAGUUCUCCGCCUGGGAAGUACGGUCGCAAGACUAAAACUCAAAUGAAUUGACGG
rnacentral:rRNA from 1 species